rnacentral:rRNA from 1 species
GACGAACGCUGGCGGCGUGCCUAAUACAUGCAAGUCGAACGCAGUGGGGACGGGUGAGUAACACGUGGGUAACCUCCCAUCAGAGGGGAUAACACUUGGAAACAGGUGCUAAACCGAUACUGAUGGAUGGACCCGCGGUGCAUUAGCUAGUUGGUGAGGUAACGGCUCACCAAGGCCAGGAUGCAUAGCCGACCUGAAAGGGGGAACGGCCACACUGGAGCUGAGACACGGCCCAGACACCAACGGGAGGCAGCAGUAGCGAAUCUUCGGCAAUGGACGAAAGUCUGACCGAGCAACGACGCAUGAGUGAAGAAGGUUUUCGGAUCGUAAAACUCUGUUGUUAGAGAAUCGGUAUCUAACCAGAAAGCCACGGCUAACUCCGUGCCAGCAGCCGCGGUAAUUC